rnacentral:rRNA from 1 species
UACGUAGGGUGCGAGCGUUAAUCGGAAUUACUGGGCGUAAAGCGCACGUAGGCGGAUUGUUAAGUCGGGGGUGAAAUCCUGGAGCUCAACUCCAGAACUGCCUUCGAAACUGGCGAUCUUGAGUCCGGGAGAGGUGAGUGGAACUGCGAGUGUAGAGGUGAAAUUCGUAGAUAUUCGCAAGAACACCAGUGGCGAAGGCGGCUCACUGGCCCGGUACUGACGCUGAGGUGCGAAAAGCGUGGGGAGCAAACAGGG